rnacentral:rRNA from 1 species
GGCGAACGCUGGCGGCGUGCCUAAUACAUGCAAGUUGAGCGCUGAAGGUUGGUACUUGUACCGACUGGAUGAGCAGCGAACGGGUGAGUAACGCGUGGGGAAUCUGCCUUUGAGCGGGGGACAACCUUUGGAAACGAAUGCUAAUACCGCAUAAAAACUUUAAACACAAGUUUUAAGUUUGAAAGAUGCAAUUGCAUCACUCAAAGAUGAUCCCGCGUUGUAUUAGCUAGUUGGUGAGGUAAAGGCUCACCAAGGCGAUGAUACAUAGCCGACCUGAGAGGGUGAUCGGCCACAUUGGGACUGAGACACGGCCCAAACUCCUACGGGAGGCAGCAGUAGGGAAUCUUCGGCAAUGGACGAAAGUCUGACCGAGCAACGCCGCGUGAGUGAAGAAGGUUUUCGGAUCGUAAAACUCUGUUGGUAGAGAAGAACGUUGGUGAGAGUGGAAAGCUCAUCAAGUGACGGUAACUACCCAGAAAGGGACGGCUAACUACGUG